rnacentral:lncRNA from 1 species
GGCGUCCGGGGGGCAGGCGGCCUAGAGCUGAUUGGGGAAGUCACCAGGAUUACAUCAUCGACCGGUAAGUAGGCUUCAUUAACUCUCCGAUGAGUGCAGUGUCGAGAGGGAAUGGUUUUUUUCUUCUUCGAGGAGCCAGAAGAGGUGAUCGUUAGAUUUGUCCUGUAAAAUAAAACUGUUCCGUGGCAGGGACGAGCCUUUAAGCUUCUCCGGUGUAUCUGGCACCCUGGCUUCUCUCUGGGAGGAAGGAAGAGUGUCUAUUCAUGGGCUGUGACUUGGAGAGGCCCCACGUAACACCGACUCUGAAAAGAAGUUGUUUUUCACCCUGGACUUGAAGUAACUGGUGGAGAGGCAGUCCUAACAGGUGAUUUAGAAGUUGCUGGAAAGGGGAAAAUCAGAAACAUGCAAUCAGGGAUGUGGCUGAAGCAGAUGAAGGGAAGCGAUGAAGCUGUCAACAGCGUACCUAGGACCUAA